rnacentral:rRNA from 1 species
CUGUCAGAAGAAGCACCGGCUAACUCCGUGCCAGCAGCCGCGGUAAUACGGAGGGUGCGAGUCGUUAAUCGGAAUUACUGGGCGUUAAAGCGCAUGCAGGUGGUUUGUUAAGUCAGAUGUGAAAGCCCGGGGCUCAACCUCGGAAUUGCAUUUGAAACUGGCAAACUAGAGUACUGUAGAGGGGGGUUAGAAUUUCAGGUGUAGCGGUGAAAUGCGUAGAGAUCUGAAGGAAUACCGGUGGCGAAGGCGGCCCCCCUGGACAGAUACUGACACUCAGAUGCGAAAGCGUGGGGAGCAAACAGGAUUAGAUACCCUGGUAG